rnacentral:rRNA from 1 species
UGAGCUGGUAUAAAGGUUUACCGCUAAGGGAUGGGGAUGCGUCUGAUUAGGUGUUGCGGGGUAACGGCCCACCAAGCCAGUCGAUCAGUAGGGGUUCGUGAGAGGAAGGUCCCCCACAUUGGAACUGAGACACGGUCCAAAACUCCUACGGGAGGCAGCAGUGAGGAAUAUUGGUCAAUGGGCGCGAGCCUGAACCAUCCAAGUAGCGUGCAGGAUGACGGCCCUAUGGGUUGUAAACUGCUUUUAUGACGGGGAUAAAGUGAGGGACGUGUCCCUUUUUGUAGGUACCGCAUGAAUAAGGACCGGCUAAUUCCGUGCC